rnacentral:rRNA from 1 species
GUGCCAGCAGCCGCGGUAAGACAGAGGGUGCAAACGUUGCUCGGAAUUACUGGGCGUAAAGCGCGUGUAGGCGGGCCCCCAAGUCGGACGUGAAAGCCCCGAGCUCAACUCGGGAACUGCAUCCGAAACUGAGGGCCUUGAGUGAUGGAGAGGGAAGCAGAAUUCCUGGUGUAGAGGUGAAAUUCGUAGAUAUCAGGAGGAACACCGGUGGCGAAGGCGGCUUCCUGGACAUUGACUGACGCUGAGACGCGAAAGCGUGGGGAGCAAACAGGAUUAGAUACCCCAGUAGUCC